AACGAACGCUGGCGGCAUGCCUAACACAUGCAAGUCGAACGAGACCUUCGGGUCUAGUGGCGCACGGGUGCGUAACGCGUGGGAAUCUGCCCUUGGGUUCGGAAUAACUCACCGAAAGGUGUGCUAAUACCGGAUGAUGUCGAAAGACCAAAGAUUUAUCGCCCAGGGAUGAGCCCGCGUAGGAUUAGCUAGUUGGUGAGGUAAAGGCUCACCAAGGCGACGAUCCUUAGCGGUCUGAGAGGAUGAUCAGCCACACUGGGACUGAGACACGGCCCAGACUCCUACGGGAGGCAGCAGUGGGGAAUAUUGGACAAUGGGCGAAAGCCUGAUCCAGCAAUGCCGCGUGAGUGAUGAAGGCCUUAGGGUUGUAAAGCUCUUUUACCCGGGAUGAUAAUGACAGUACCGGGAGAAUAAGCUCCGGCUAACUCCGUGCCAGCCGCCGCAGUAAC
rnacentral:rRNA from 1 species